rnacentral:rRNA from 1 species
CCUACGGGAGGCAGCAGUGGGGAAUAUUGCACAAUGGGGGAAACCCUGAUGCAGCGACGCCGCGUGAGUGAAGAAGUAAUUCGUUAUGUAAAGCCCUAUCAGCAGGGAAGAAAAUGACGGUUACUGAGUAAGAAGCCCCGGCUAAAUACGGUCCAGCAGCCGCGGUAAUACGUAGGGGGCAAGCGUUAUCCGGAUUUACUGGGUGUAAAGGGAGCGGCGACGGCCGUGCAAGUCUGGAGGGAAAGGCGGGGGCUCAACCCCCGGACUGCCCUGGAAACUGGACGGCUGGAGUGCCGGAGGGGUAAGUGGAAUUCCUAGUGUAGCGGUGAAAUGCGUAGAUAUUAGGAGGAACACCAGUGGCGAAGGCGGCUUACUGGACUGUAACUGACGUUGAGGCUCGAAAGCGUGGGGAGCAAACAGGAUUAGAUACCCGAGUAGUC